UGUGGAGAUGGAGAUAGAACAAAAUCUUUGGCUCGUGCAGCUCUUUCGGAUUUGGGAUGAAAGAGCUGGACGUGUUCAGGUGGAUAUAUCUAGUGUGUAAAGAAUUAGUUGAAAGAUGAAUAGGUUAAUUAUCAGCUGCUAAAUGAUGAAUAUGGAUUCAUCAAGUUUCAAGACCUGAUAUUUGACAGAUUUGAUAUGGUUCUCUCCUCCUUGAAGGGAUGGUCCGGCUUGAGUGGGCUGGCGGAAACUCUUGUAUUUGUGCCUACAACAAAAUUGAUCCCCCUGGAAAAAGUUAUGUCAAGGGCCGUUUGAAACAUAGCAUAGAUCAAUGAUCUCCAUGUUUACACCUCAUUAUCAUGGUUCAUAAACUCAGGUUUCCUGAUCAAGAAGCAUAUUUAUUUUGCCAUUAUAAGGUCAGCUUUUCUACUGUUAGUAUGGUUGCUUGUGUUCUAAAAAUAGCUUAGAAUUUAAGAAGGAUAAAGCAAACAAUACCUUACAAAUUUCAUAUAGGGUAUUACAAAAGCAUAUGCAAUACUCUUUUAAGUUUGAUUACAGCAA